NNNNNCGAUCAUACCAGCACUAAUGCAUCGGAUCCCAUCAGAACUCCGCAGUCAAGCGUGCUUGGGCGAGAGCAGUACUAGGAUGGGUGACCUCCUGGGAAGUCCUCGUGUUGCACUUC
rnacentral:rRNA from 1 species